rnacentral:misc_RNA from 1 species
GUGAAUCAUCGAAUUUUUGAACGCAAAUUGCGCUUGCUGGUAUCCCGGGAAGUAUGCCUGUUUGAGGGUCAGUAUUAACAUAAAAUCGGUUUGGUUGCAAUUGGUGAUGUUUGCGGAGUUCGGGCUUAUCCAAACUCUUUUGCUUAAGGGGCUUAAAAUUGACCUUUUUUGUGCAUUUUUAGAUGUAUAUAACUUUUUUUUUAUUCGUCUAUUCUGAAUGCCAAUAUCUUAUUAGAUGCGAUCAC